GAAAAAGAUAGUAGGCUAUAAUUAGCUGAAUAUUAAAUAAAGUAUAGAUUUUACAGAAACUGUCUUUAACGGAAUUUCCAAAUCAAUAAAACAAGCAAAAAAAAAAAUACAAUACCAAAAAAAGAGAAGUAUUUAAAAUAGAAUAGUCCAGCCACUUAGGAAAAAUAUACAAGAUACACUGGUAUAAAGACAAUACAUAUAUACAUUCUAGAAAGACUAAAGGUUUAAAUAUUAAAGAUGAAAUCAUGUAAGCACUAGAAAAAAACAAAAGACCAUUCAAUAGUAUUGGGGUACCUCUUGCGAAUGUCUUCCCAGGCAUGACAAAAGUAGAGAUCUAAAUACAAACACUCAUUACCAUUAAAAACAAAACAAAAAAGAAUACUAAUAAAUUUGAAAGGUCAACAUCAUCCUGGGCAAAAAUAUAUCUAACAAUACAUCUGAGAAAAAAAGUGGUAAAAUGUGGUAAAUGUUCAUAAUGUUCAGUUUAACACUCCCUUUCAUCUAGGCUGGACAGCAUUUUGGGUCUACAUUCUCGAAGCAGGAGCCAGACGAAAAGCAAAGAAAAUUUGGACAUGGAGAUGGAGACCCCAGACACAUGCACAUGCAGAGGGACAAACAUAUGAGGACACAGCAAGGCGGCCGCCAUCUGCAAGCCAAGGAGAAUGGCCUCAGAAGAAACUAGACCUGCCAGUAACUAAUCUUGGACUUCUAGUCUCCAGCACUCAAAUAAAUCUUCAUUGUUUAAGCCACCCAGUCUGUGUUAUUUUGUUAUGGCAGCCCUAGCAAACUAAUAC
rnacentral:lncRNA from 10 species